rnacentral:sRNA from 1 species
GCCGGGCAUGGUGGCGGGUGCCUGUAAUCCCAGAUACUCGGGAGGCUGAGGCAGGAGAAUCACUUGAACCCGGGAGGCGGAGGUUGCAGUGAGCCAAGAUUGUGCCACUGUACUCCAGCCUGGGUGACAGAGCGAGAUUCUGUCUCAA